GAAAGUGAUCUGAUUAGUGUUGGGUUUGUGGUCUCCAAGCACCAAGAUCUCAGCACUUGGGCACGCUGUCCGGGACGUGGAGUAGGGGCAGAGAUUUUUGGUCCUUCCCAGGGAUUCAUUUGCUUCCGACAAAGGAUGACAACGCGACAAAUACCACUGUGAGGUUCAAGCUCCUUCGAUGAAGUGAUUUUUCGCGGAGAGAUGGCUUUUGCUAUGGAAAAGACUAUGGACACAUUUCACAGUGAUCACUCUUUCUCUCUCCAAGCCAGAGCCAAAAGGGGCUCUCUCUCUCAGACCCGUAUCACGAGACACUGGUGGAGUUCCUGUAGUGAGAGCCUAUGAAGCAUGAGGGCAUGCCCUUAAGAUGGCGGCCCCCAGAAAUUUCUCACUCUCAUUCUGGCCCACACUCGGCUUCCAGCAAUUUUUCAAAAUUACCGUUUCAGUGUUUUUGCAGCUUAUGGAUUUCAGUGGCUUUUUCUCCAGUGGUGCUCUGGAAGCAGGUGAUCUUUCUUCUGAUGAAGCAUCAGACGCUCAACAGAAGCCUAACGUUGCGUCGCAAAAUCCUCACUGCGUCUCAUCACGUAGGCGUUUUAUCAUCUCCCGUCAUCACAGGAAGAAGGGUGAGUACAUUACAAUGAGAUAUUUGUAACUUUCAACACAGUGUAUUGUUAUAAUCGUUCUAUUUUGUUGUUGUUGUUAAUCUCUUCCUGUGACCAAUUUAUAAAUUAAACUUUACCAUAGGUAUGCGUGUAUAGUAAAAAACAUAGUCUAUGUAGGGUUCCGUACUGUGUGCUGUCUCAGGCAUCCACUGGCGCUUGGGGGAGUCUUGGAACAGAUACCCUGUGAAUAAGGGGAGACUAUGUGCAUUUUUCCCAUCUCUCCUUUCAAUGUUACCGUGUCAAGUGGCUUGAAGUAGGCCAUUGGUACGAGUAUUGUCACCACGGAAAUCAGCAAAUGCUACAUCUUGUGGCUUAAAAAAAAAAAAAAGAACUGUGUUUUUCAGCACAUCACUGGGUUGUAUAAAGUUGUAAAGCUGUUUAUUGAAAAAAAAGAACUGUGUUUUUCAGCACAUCACUGGGUUGUAUAAAGUUGUAAAGCUGUUUAUUGAAUUGUUCACUUAAGAUUUCUGAUCUUGAAUAUACACUGUUUACCAACUCAAAAAUUUCAAAAUGUCCUAAAUUCUUUCCACCUUACAUGGACAAAUGAUAUCUCUGCUUUCAGUUCUUACAUAGUUUAUUUUGGGCCAAAUAUCAGGUUUAUAUUCAAACCAGGAUUGUGCUUUGUUCAAGUACAAGAAGUAUGAGGCUCGUUUUAGAUUACCUUUUCCUCCUCUUUAUACAUAACUGCACACAUACCAGACUUUCGGGUUCUUUCGGGUUG